rnacentral:lncRNA from 1 species
CUGAAAGAGUGACAAGUAGGGCAUACACUUGCCAUCUGAUAAGAAUAUAGCAUAUAGCUUACAGACACACAUUUUUCAGAGCAUAGUUUAGUCCAGCUAUGGACAACAUGAAAACAGAUAAAACUAUGAAAUCCCGCAUGUUGGCCCCACGAUAACGACCAUGGCCUGUAGUCCUCCGGAUAAGUCACGUAUAGUCUGCUAGAGUCCUCAUCGAACUCCCACUUCAGCUGACUGUCAUCAGGAUCUCCUACAUCAGGCGUACCUGUACAUGUGGGUGUUUGUAGUAAACAGUGAGCCACGAGGACUCAGCAAUCGAAUGAACUUGGUAUCGAAUCUAGCCGAGUUAAUGGGUGAGGAAGGUUAAGUGUAUGGGUUUGUAGCAACCUAAGCAUAUAUGGUGGCUACCUUAUGAUGAUCAGAGUAAACAUAUGGUGGUCUACGCAAGUCGGUCGAACCCUAGAUUGAUCACUAAGUGAUCCUGAACACCUACUUACGUCACUCAUAACCCCACCGUGUUCUCGAUCAGAGAAGGAUCUCCGAGAGAGAGACAGUCAUGGUUACGCACUCAGUUGGCAGUUUUAUUAGAAUUACUUUAAGUUGCCUAGAACCGGAUGUUAACAAAAUAUCCAUGUUUGCCACAUAACUGCGGGCACAGCUUUCCGAAAGAUUAAACCCUGCAGGGGUGCUCCAACUAGUCCAUUACAAAUUACCACAGGCCGCAUAGUAAUCCUCACGAAACUCGUGAUCUAGUCGGACUCCUACGGGGAAAACCUCAACUUUGAGGAGACCCAAAGUUUCACCGGAAUUCCAAUGCGCAAGAUAUAUCGCUAAGGUAAGACAAAUCUGACAAGACCGCCCGGCGUAUCGACGACCCCGAUAAGAACCACGUAUCUCAGUCUCAGGAAACGAUAGAUGGGAAAGCCUACAGGGUACCAGACCUCAAGUUUCCUCGCGGUGGCCCCGCAGUCUGCCCAAUUUGGACCAACACUCAUGAGGAGCACUGGCCCGGAUUGUUGAUUAAUUCCUCGGGUAGCUAUUCCCUAUGCAUUUAAUUAUUAAGUUAUUAGCAUAUUAAAACCAAAGUUGGGUCCUGCCAGACAAGCCUUAACACUACACGAUUCAUCAAGGGGGUCCCAUAACAACCCCGAACGUGUUAGGAGCGCUCAGUUAUGGAAUAAAACACCGGUAACCGAAACUAAGGCGGCAACAACGGAACAAAUCACCCGGCAAAAGGCUAGGCCUUCCGGUAUUUACCAAGUAUAUAGGUGCAUUAAUUAAAUAGCAUUUAAACAUAAUGAUAUCAAAAUGUCCAUGUUAUCACAUGGACCAGCUGGCACCUGCAACUGGCAAUGCUAUCCAUUAGUGGUUGAGCAAGCCUACUUAGCCAAACAAUAUUUGCUAGGACAGGGAAGUGUUUGAGGUUUCAUGGCAAAUACAGAUGGCAUAUAUAUCAUGUGGUAGGUAGCGGGCAUGUAACGCUGGAAACGUGAUUCUAAGCAUAACAAAGCUAGAAACGGUGUCAAGGUCACGGUCAUCUUGCCUUUGAUUUCUUCAACCUGGAACUGCUCUUGUUCUUCCUGCACGAACUCUCCAGAAUCCACGUACUCGCUCUCCCUUCCCGAUGCUACCCAAGAUAAGAUAACAGCAAAUAAACAUGGGCAAAACAUAAUGCAACAACCAAUAUGAUGCAUGUGUGAAGAAGGAAGCAUGCACCACUAUUCUAGUCACUUUCACAUGCAUUAGUUGAGUUGAUUAUAUUCUGGACAAAACCUCGUGUUAAUUUAUCUUAACAUACAUGAACAUGGCAUAAUCAAAUGCAUCACGAGAAAAUGAUGCAAAAAACAUAUGAAGAACGUCGUGAGUGGAGUCUCGGAUCAACCGGAAACUACAAAACAAGUUACGAAGGUCUACGGGUUCAAAACAGCCACAAACACGACUAAAUGGGCACUUACUGGUGUAACCAGGAUGCCAAGUGAUCAAGCACCACAAUACAAGUGGAAUGGUGCCUAAGAACACACCACACCAUCAACCAAUGCUCACACAAGCUCUAAAAACAUAUAAGCAUACAAUCUGUUUUUAACAGCAACAUAGCAGUUUGACUACAAGAUCUACAACAUCUACAACCCUCUAAAUAAAUCAAACAAGACAUGAAACUGAAGUCAUCCAACUGCCUUACAACCUCUAACAAAAGUCUAAGGCAAAGAAAUCACCCAUGAGCAGAUCUACAACCUCUAACUUUGACAAAAACAUCACAAAUUGGGACUUAGUAAAAAUUACAGAUUUUCACCAGUUGCUCGUGCUCCAAAGCAUUUUGGCAACCUCCAAAAUGAUAUCUACAGGAGGUAUCUGCACAUGAAAUUUUACAUGGAGCUAUACAAACAUACCAGCAAACAAACAUUAGUUUGUUGUUUGGGCUAAUUCCCAACGGAGGAGAAAAUAUAAACAAAACAACAAGGGAAGAGAAUAACUCCAGAUUCCAAGACUCGGUGAAAUUCUCAGGUUUUCACCAAUCUGUCAUAUCAGUCAAGUGUCCACUUUGACAAGGUGUAAUAAGCACAUGCAAAAACAUAUGAGCAACACAUUUGCCCCAAGUUGUAGAGGGGUUCACCCACUACCAUUCCGUCAAGGAAUCACUAACAAUGGAUCACAGCUCCACCAGAUAUGAGGCUCUAAACAGGGCAUGAAAAUAACAAUGCAACACUUAGGGAAAUAAAAUAUACAUGGAGAGGGGUCCACUUGGCAAUGGCUCUCUCUUAGGAUGACAUGUGGGUCCUUUGGACCCACUCUCACACACACACACACUACUCUACAUGUGCUACAGCCUCUCAGACAUACACACAUACACAUACACAUGGAAAACAAAAUACAAAGAAAAGGUGCCAAGGGGGGGGCGAACCCACCACUUCCCUGGUAGAACUAACCUACUCCACCACUGGGCUAUCAUCUCAGUGCUGCACUAUAGGGAGAACCACAGGAAGUAAGGUGUCUCUGUUGAUAAUGCACAGGAAAAUUAAAUCAAUCAACAAAAGGGGUCCACUUGGCAAUGGCUCUCUCUUAGGAUGACAUGUGGGUCCUUUGGACCCACUCUCACACACACACACACUACUCUACAUGUGCUACAGCCUCUCAGACAUACACACAUACACAUACACAUACACAUGGAAAACAAAAUACAAAGAAAAGGUGCCAAGGGGGGGGCGAACCCACCACUUCCCUGGUAGAACUAACCUACUCCACCACUGGGCUAUCAUCUCAGUGCUGCACUAUGGGGAGAACCACAGGAAGUAAGGUGUCAUAAUGCACAGGAAAAUUAAAUCAAUCAACAAAAGGGACGCCAGGGGGAUUCGAACACACACCCUCCUGGCGGAGGCGCGGGGCUGGCGCCACUGGGCUAGCGCGGGGAAGUCUGAACAAAAGGAGGUUCUGCUCCCCAUAUGCCGAGGCCACGGAUCUUCUUCUACCUCCAGCCGAAUCAGCAGAGGAGAAGGCCUCCACUCCGGCGAGCGGGGAGGCGGCAACGGCGUCGAGCAUCUACCGGCAGGGGAAGCGGGAUGCUUGGGGAAUCCAUUCCCAUUACUAACGCGGCGGGAGAUGGACCACAAUGACGGUGCUACGGGGUUGUUGUGACUGGCCACGCGGAGCUCAACGCCGGCGACAAUCCGGCGCUCAGGUUGGUCCUAGCGUGGGGAAAGAAGAGGGGAACGCGGCGCUCACCCUGGGGGACUCGGAGUCGCUCUUGCUGUCGAGAAGAGUAAGAAGAGGCGAGGGCGACGACGGCAUCACUUCUCCCUUCCGUCUCCUGUCGAGGUCGAUGAGGAGGGGCCGACGGAGGAGGAGAUUUGCCCUCCUAACGCCGGGAACGGGACGAGGGAGGAUCCAGCAUCCUCCCCACAUGCUUGGACUCGACGGGCAAGGACCGGCGACGAGGGGAGGGACAGCGUCGGCGACGAACUCUCUCU